CCGCCCCCUCCAGGCCCGCCCUGCCGCGCCACUUUCGGUUUCUUUUUCUGCGCACCGCGGUGGCGGGCGCAGCUCGACUUUUCCCACAAAUCCGGGACCCCUCCUCGGGGAGGUCCCCCAGCCCUGACCUAGCCUCGCACCUGUCCUAGGACCGGUCUGUCAAGGUCUCUAGCACUGCCCUUGAAUCUCCGGGGCACUUCUCAGCACCCUCCCUUUCGGACCUGGCGGCCCUCCGGUACCCCCACUGCCUUCGGUCGCAGAUUUCUUCAGGCAAGCCCAUUAGGAUACUCCGGACUGGCCCUGACACACCAGUCACCUCCGCCAGGUCACAUCCUCUAUUACAGAGUUGAUGUUCUCUGCAGUACAGCUCCAGCCUUCUGUGAUUGUAUCAGACAAGGACACCGUCCAGGGAAUAAGGAAGUCCUCUGCCCAGCCCCUGAAAGCACUUCGUCCUUUAUGUAUUCAAACAAAUGAUCACCAACCCAAGGGAACACAGCAGGCAAACAAAAUGAGCCAGGACCCAAACUCAGGAUGCUCUGGACUGCAAAGCACAUUUUCCUAACCCCCUUCCUGCCUGUCUGCCAUGGUCCUGGCCUGCCACUCUGCGUGUGGACGACACGAACAGUGAGUGGGCUCGAGGGAAUCCCGUGUGUGAGUGUGCAUGCGUACAUGGGAGUGUAUAAGACAAAGGAGGGCUCUGCCCGAGCAGAGCGUUGCCCGUCUAUGCCAAAGGCUUCUUAGUGUGUUUACCUCCCAUUCAUUCCUGCUCCACGUGAGGACUGAUACCUUACACUUUUAUGAGAGCCCAUCCCAAGGCAUGUCCCUCCUCCCUACCCAACCUCUUCCCCGCUUUGUGCUUCCAACCAGGCCCGCCAAAACAUGACACAGUUAAUGAAACGACUCAAGGAUGAGUCAUCCGAUGUACAAGCUUUAAUCAAUGUUGCAUAGAAUCACUGUA